AAAAAAAAAAAAAAAUCUGAUAAUUUCCUAAAUUUCAGAAACAAAGAUGUGCACAUUAUGCAUGUACUCCCAACAUAUGUAUGUAUGCAUGCAGUGAAGCUCUGGAGAGCCUAGUACAGUAGACAUAGAAAGCAAAUGUACUUAUUUUAACACAUGAGGGCAACUAUUAAGUUCAAAUAAAAAAUAUGACUUUAUUUUGGUAUUGUUCUCCAGUACUAUGACUUGACACUAUCAAGUAAUAACUCCAUGCACAGCCAACUCCACGAAUCUAUUUCUCUUGGUAUUGAUCUCUAAUACUAUGAUUUAACAUCAAAAAGUAUCCUGCAAAUUUUCUCGAGUGUCAUAAUGUGAUCAAUAUUUUUUUUUCCCCUUUCCAAUCUAGAAUUGACUGUAGGCAGUGCUCAAGAGAAAGCAACAUCCCUUCACAUAGCAUAAUAUGGCAUAAUCUUUGUGGAAAAAGCCUAUCAAAACUAUAGGCAUAAACCAAACUAAUUACCUCAUCAAUAAAUCAGUAACUUAAUUACUCCAUUGAUGUAGCAAAACAACACUUACUACUUGACUAUUUAACACCACAAAAUGAAACCAUAUUAAGACUCCCA
rnacentral:misc_RNA from 1 species